UUCAUAAAAAUAAUUAUAAUAUUCUUUAUUGCCUUAAUUCAUUUUAUUACCAACAUCAUAGAAUACAAAGCCACAGUUGCAAGGUCCUUGAAAUUAUAAAAACAAAAAUAAAUAAAAAUAUAACAAUUAUUGGAUACCCUUACAAUAACUAAAAAGAAACUAUGGAAUAUUCUAGUGAAAUGUAUAUUGCAUAGUUUUUCCUAGUGUAAGGACUAUUCUUCUCUGCAUGGCGUAAAUGUACUCUGCUAGGGCUCGUACUCAACAACCAAAAGGUGGUUCCAAUCUAGAAUAUAUACAUCGGUUCGAUUCGCACCUUACAAAGGGAUUCGAAAUAUCUGGUGGACAAUCAUUAACAUCGUUGCAAUGUAUUGCUGUAAUGAAAAAACAAAAUAAAAUAAUAUUACUAAAACGAGAUAAAAGAUUGUGUACGAACUAUAAUUAAAAAAGAAAAUUUGAAAAGGAUAAGAAAAUAUAUUACCAUUAAUGUUUUUUGCAACAAGAAAUAAGGAGAUACAUAAAAUCAUAUAAUACACGAAUUGGAGAGUUUUAGCCAUUUAUUUAU
rnacentral:lncRNA from 1 species